rnacentral:rRNA from 1 species
CCUACGGGUGGCAGCAGUGAGGAAUAUUGGUCAAUGGGCUUACGCCUGAACCAGCCAAGUCGCGUGAGGGAAGACUGCCCUUUGGGUUGUAAACCUCUUUUGUCAGGGAGCAACGCCGGCUACGUGUAGCCGGACGGAGAGUACCUGAAGAAAAAGCAUCGGCUAACUCCGUGCCAGCAGCCGCGGUAAUACGGAGGAUGCGAGCGUUAUCCGGAUUGUUUGGGUUUAAAGGUUGCGUAGGCGGAAUGCCAAGUCCGCGGUAAAAUCGCGGGGCUCAACCUCUCUCCGCCGUUGAAACUGGCGGUCUUGAGUGGGCGAGAAGUAUGCGGAAUGCGUGGUGGAGCGGUGAAAUGCAUAGAUAUCACGCAGAACUCCGAUUGCGAAGGCAGCAUGCCGGCGCCCAACUGACGCUGAAGCACGAAAGCGUGGGUAUCGAACAGGAUUAGAUACCCGAGUAGUC